rnacentral:lncRNA from 1 species
AACGAGUGGGGAACGGGAAUUGAACAAAAAACCAGAGGGGAUAGAGAAGAGUCAAACUGAGAGGAAUAGAGUGAGAGGGGUGACGGAAGAAACUCUAACAGGGCACUAGACACCAAGGAAGUUAGCACUCAAAUUUUUAGUUUCUUUUCUCUUAAUCUCGUCGAGCUUCACAGUAAUUUAGCUACCCUUCUUCAUCAACGGACAUCCACAUAACUCCUCUCCAUUGUUUCCAAAUAUCUCACUACCAUGUGAACUAGGAAUACCUUCCUCCGAUUUUGCUUCACCAAAAUAAAACUACAUCACCACCUUGAAUCCUAUAUUAUUAUCUCGAAUUUUCUCUGAUUGGUAAAAAGUUUCUGUCAGUUGAGCAAAAUUUUUGAAGUUGAGAUUUGGGGUGCUCAGAUCUGAGAGACAAAGAGGUCUCGGGACAGUCCGUUUUGGUGCUCGAGUUUUUUCGGUUCCGACUCCUGUUCGUACCACUAUUGCUGUAAUUGCUCGAGGUCCAUUCUAAACAUUCCCUUUCGUUGUUAUAUUCUAUCACAUUGUGAGGUGUUUAUUUUGCUUUUAAUCUUACUGUUUAUUGAUUUCUGGUUGUGUUAGCAUGUGUUAGAUGUAAUUUAUUUUGUGAUAUUGAAAUCAGAUUUGUUUAUAAAGAGAUAAGGAUGAUAUAAUAGGCUAUAUUGGCUUUUAGAAGAGUAUGACGGAUAAAAAGAAAGCUUUAGUUUAAUUAAUCAUUGGGCCGUGGGGUUUUGGGAAUUAAUUGUUAAGAAAAAAAGAGCAUGAAAUGAAUUCCUCUGUUAUUUAAUUUCUUUUUAUUUAGUUUAUUUCUUCAUAUUAUCCGCUAGUAGCAUGUUUAGGCCGAUCACACUUGGGUAGUCAAGCUUUAGGACUUUUGUUUAAAUUUUGAGGCAAGAGGUUGUUCCCCUUAGUUUAUUAUUUUAUUCGGGGAAUGUCCCGAGGAUUUUGUAUAUAUUUUUAUCCGGGGUAUGCCCCAUAGUGAAUGUAAUUAGAGGCCAUGACGUACAUCGUGAAGUGAGCAUAGUAUAGACUUUUAGUAUUUUCACUCUUAUUUAAUUUUCUUUUCUCUUAUUUAGAUGGAGACAACCUCGAGCCUCUUGUAUGUUUAUUUUUAUUUCGUGUGUUUUUUCCUCAGUUUGAGUUUUCUUAAAAGCCAACUAGAUCAUGUAUGCAACUGUGACUUUCACGGGACUUGGGGAAUGCCUAAUACCUUCUCCCCGAGUCAAAUGAACCCCCUUAUCUAGAAUCUCUGGUGCAAACUGGUUUAGAGUCAAAUAUGUUUUAAGGAAAAAUUAUUUAUAAAUGGUGACUUGGCACACCGAGAUUAUAUGUCAAGUGGCGACUCUGAGAAAAUCCCUUUUAAACAAUCAUUUUGUCACUUUCACGAUUGAAAACCCUUUGAGCUUUAAAAUCACUUUAUAUCUUUUAAAGAGGGUUAGUGAGGUGAAAUAUAGGGUGUGACAAUUGGGACUCAAAUCCAAUGUCUCACCCUCAUAAAGGCAUGUUAAGCCAUAAUGCAUUGGGACUCAAACCCAACGUCGUUUCAUCAUGAUGCACCAGAACUCGAAUCCGGUGUCUGAACACCUCUUCCGAAAUAUUACUACUUCUGAUGCAAAUUCGAGGCAUGUAACAUAGAGAAUAGUUCUCUAGCAUGUCUUAAUCAAUAAUAAAUUUAGUAUUUGAACAUAUUAUCACUUUUAAUGAUCAUAACACCAAUCAGAACUAACAAUACUUUGAACAUAUAAUUAUUUAAUUUAGCUGUUAUAUGCAUAAAUGCUUAGUCAUAAUGAGCCUUUAUGAAAAUAUUAAUCAUCACUCUAAUGGUUAUAUAUUUCUUAUAAUUCUGUAGGCAAAUGAAAAGGACUAUGUAUCACCUACCAUUAUGGUUUGAAGAUGAAGAGUAAGUGCCAAGAGAAUUGAGAGAAUGAACCCAUAAGGUGGCUUUAUAUACUUAGUGGGUAAAAUUAUAUUUUUGUUAAAGUUUAUUGGGCUAUCGGUUAAACCGUUAAUAAAAUUGGGCAAAUCGAGACCCGAACUGAUAACCCAAUAGUCAAAUAAUAUUAAACCGUUAUCGAACUAUUUACCUAAUAACCCGAUAUCGAUAAGCCAAUAGUAUUUUACUGGUUCGCGCUAUCGGUUAUACCCAAUAUAUGCCCCGCCCUAUCCGAAACUUACCCGAGCCACCCGGGACCCCG